AUCUAGCUGGCUCAGUCGGUAGAGCAUGUGACUCUCGAUCUCAGGGUUGUGAGUUCGAGCCCCACGCUGGGUG
rfam:Ailuropoda melanoleuca scaffold976_47, whole genome shotgun sequence.